rnacentral:lncRNA from 1 species
AGAAAUCACUCAAAAUUUUCAGUUUUUCCCUUCUCUACAGUCUCUUUUGUAGAAAUUUACUGCUGCAAUUUCUUUAUAUUUUUAUCAUUGUAGCUUUACUCUUUACGUUCCCAUUGUUUUUGACAAAUAAGAAUUACCUCUAUUUAUCUAGGAUAUAUCCCAUGUAUAUCAGAAAGAGGAAAUAUUACUAUUUUGAUGAUACGGUUAUCAAAAUUUUAUAAAGGCUGGUCGGAUAGCAAGGGAAAAUAUUUUAUGAAGGUAGGAUCACUUUCAUCUCGAGUGUUCUUAAUUCUCUCCCUAUUUGUAUCUUGUCUACUCUUACACCUACAAAAGAAACUCUAAAACUCACUGAGAAGCACUACUCCAAUUUUUUAUGAGGUUUCAAAGGUGAUAAGAAUUGUACCUAUUGGUGAGCAUGGGAUAAACUAUCAAAUUCCAAGGAAGAAGGAAGCAUCAACAUCAAAAGUAUACAAGAUAUAUGUAAAAGUGUGCAAUAUGCAACAUUGGUGGAGAAUCAAAACUGACAAAAUUAUUGUGGACUAAUUUGUUUUGAGCCAAGUGUUGUAUUAGAGUAUUCCAAAGACAAUGACAACAGAAGAUAUAAUUAAGCCUAUGAUAUCUGUAUGUCUAUUAUAUGAAAUUCUUUGCGAGUAUUGAGUGUUUUCUCAUUUAUUUAGUCCUUAGUCCAAUUUUUUUAUUGUCUAUCUUUGUGAUGUUUUGGGAUAUUUAUUUAGUCUUUGUGAGGACACUUUAAUGAAAAUAGCUAAAUAACUUAACUUUUCGCACUAUGCGCCUCUUGUAUUCUUUGUGUAGCUGAUAGAGUAUUAUGUACAUAGAUUGAAAAUGCAUUGUUUGUUGUGUCAACUAGGAGUCAUG